rnacentral:rRNA from 1 species
GGGGAAUAUUGCACAAUGGGGGAAACCCUGAUGCAGCAACGCCGCGUGAAGGAUGAAGGUUUUCGGAUUGUAAACUUCUUUAGUCAGGGACGAAUAAAUGACGGUACCUGAAGAAUAAGCCACGGCUAACUACGUGCCAGCAGCCGCGGUAAUACGUAGGUGGCAAGCGUUGUCCGGAAUUACUGGGUGUAAAGGGCGUGUAGGCGGGAAUGUAAGUCAGAUGUGAAAUCCCAGAGCUUAACUCUGGAGCUGCAUCUGAAACUAUGUUUCUUGAGUGCCGGAGAGGAAAGCGGAAUUCCUAGUGUAGCGGUGAAAUGCGUAGAUAUUAGGAGGAACACCAGUGGCGAAGGCGGCUUUCUGGACGGUAACUGACGCUGAGGCGCGAAAGCGUGGGGAGCAAAC